rnacentral:rRNA from 1 species
GAUGAACGCUGGCGGCGUGCUUAACACAUGCAAGUCGAACGGGAAACCUUUUAAUGAAGCUUCGGCAGAUUUAGCUGGUUUCUAGUGGCGGACGGGUGAGUAACGCGUGGGUAACCUGCCUUAUACAGGGGGAUAACAGUCAGAAAUGACUGCUAAUACCGCAUAAGCGCACAGGGCCGCAUGGUCCGGUGUGAAAAACUCCGGUGGUAUAAGAUGGACCCGCGUUGGAUUAGCUUGUUGGUGGGGUAACGGCUCACCAAGGCGACGAUCCAUAGCCGGCCUGAGAGGGUGAACGGCCACAUUGGGACUGAGACACGGCCCAGACUCCUACGGGAGGCAGCAGUGGGGAAUAUUGCACAAUGGGGGAAACCCUGAUGCAGCGACGCCGCGUGAAGGAAGAAGUAUCUCGGUAUGUAAACUUCUAUCAGCAGGGAAGAUAGUGACGGUACCUGACUAAGAAGCCCCGGCUAACUACGUG